CCUACGGGAGGCAGCAGUGAGGAAUAUUGGUCAAUGGGCGGGAGCCUGAACCAGCCAAGUCGCGUGAGGGAAGACGGUCCUAUGGAUGGUAAACCUCUUUAGGCGGGGAGCAAUGCCGGGCACGCGUGCCCGAAGGGAGAGUACCCGCAGAAUCAGCAUCGGCUAACUCCGUGCCAGCAGCCGCGGUAAUACGGGGGAUGCGAGCGUUAUCGGGAUUUAUGGGGUUUAAAGGGUGCGUAGGCGGAAUUUUAAGUCAGCGGGAAAAUGUCGGGGCGCAACCCGGGCCGGCCGUUGAAACUGGGGAUCUUGAGGGGGAGAGAAGUAUGCGGAAUGCGUGGUGUAGCGGUGAAAUGCAUAGAUAUCAGGAAGAACUCCGGUGGCGAAGGCAGCAUACUGGCGCGCGACUGACGCUGAGGCACGAAAGCGUGGGGAUCGAACAGGAUUAGAUACCCGGGUAGUC
rnacentral:rRNA from 1 species